CAUAAUGAGUGUCAUAGGUUUGAUGCUUGUUUGGCAAAGAGUAUGAUUUGAUUCGAUGUGGAAUUGAAAUCGAAGUGUUUAGUAUAUUGCUGAAGCUUCCAUUUUUACACAUGGACACCACUUCAUGCUGCGAGAACCCACUUUGGCGCAGUCUCAGGGCUUAAUCGAUGGCCGGUAAGCUGUCAUCGAGACAAGGAGGUUCUCCGAUAGUGGAAAUAUCACAUUUGUACAAUGAACCGCUACAUAUGUGAUUUUUCCCUAUCUUAAUGUGGAAUUUAGGAUUUCAACUAUAAAUAUCAACUUUUUAUACUUUGCCUUUAGUUAUUUAGGGACAAAAUUAGUAACAGUGAAUUUAGUAAUUCUAUCAGAAUCGGUGAUUUUCAUUCAAGUAGCAUAAAAACCAUUCUGAUUUGUCAAAAUUUCCAUAGAGUCUCGAUCAAUCAAUAGUGAAAUGAUAUCGGACUAAAUUCGUUGAUCUGUUGAACUAACGGUUGUCGGAUUAUGAUUGUAUCGACCAUUGUUGCGAAUCGAGGAUCUACUGGAAUUCUGACGAACAAAUGGUCGUCUCUUUUUCAAUUCACGACUUGUAAAAUAUCAACUGUUAUUUUUUUUUGUUUUUUUAAAAGAAGCCAGACAGGUUUAAAAAAAAACGUUUUUUUUUGGUUAAUAAUUAAAAUGUCGGGGAUUUGAGAUAAGAGUAGCUUUCGGAUAGGUUGCUUUAAAUCUUGUAUUCAAUUCAAGUUAGGUAGUUAUCCGCAAAUGAAUAUUUGGACUUAUAUGAAUAAUUGAACAUUUUGGACUUAUGAAUAACACACACUGUGCAUUUAUUCUAGAGUCAGAUCCAUACAGCGUCAGUGUUUAUUUGGUCGAAGUGUACUAAUUCAUUGGCAGAUCUGAUUCUAGUUGUAAUGUACGACAAGACUACUGACGGACGUGACAGGACGAGGGCCCAGUUUAGAGGUUUCGACAUCAACGAUGUGCGGCUGGAUCACCUUCCCAAAAAAAAAAAAAAAAAAAAAAAAACAGGAAAA